rnacentral:tRNA from 1 species
GUCUGAAUAGUUUAAUGAUAAAGCAGUUGUCCAGAAUGCAAAAGACUCGGGUUCGAUGUCUGAUUCAGCCA